AUGAGACCACAGUUACAGUCCAGGGGAAGUGGUGGCCCCUUCAGCAGCAGCUUGAAGAUGCUCACUGGAAGAAAGGAGCCUUCAUGUUCCCAGGAUCAAGGAAUGUCGUCCAGCUGUUAUCCUGCUCCCUUUCAAGAUGAUGUCAGAUACAAAAUUAAUCUGCUCUGCACUGUGUGUGCCCUGAUGACUGCCAUGCUGGCUGGUAUCUCGAGUGGGGAUCUGGAGGCCAGAGAGAACAGGCACAUAAGAAACAUCCUGGGCAAUACAGAUCUGUCUUUCACAACCACAAUGGAAACAGGCAGUAUCUGGAUCUGUAUGGAGAUGAUUCUGAUUUCACAGAUAACAAUGGAAGUCAGAGGCAGGAAGAACACUGGAGACAUUAAAAUGACUGAAUCAGUCCUUUCACUGAAUCAGGAUCACCGUGGGUUUUAUACAACUUCAUCAAAUAAACUGAACAGAAAUCAUCACAUUAGAAGAAGGUUAACAUCAUUUGAGUUAAGAGGCAUGUUAGCAAAAAGUAGAAGAAAUCAUCCCCACAACACAAUUCCAAUUUUUUAUAUUUUCCAGCAAUUUCUUCCCACGUCAAUAUUAUUAGCAUGUAUUAAUGAAGUGAUUUUUAAACAGUUUUAUAUCAUAUUACUUUUUUGAGAAAUUGUUUAAUAUGACCUUAGCUUGAUUUGUUUUCUUUGGUUUCUGUAGGAUUUUUUUGGGGGGAGGGAUUGUUUGUUUGUUUUAGUUGUGGUGUUUUGUUGGUUUUUUGUUUUUUGAUUUUGGUCAGUUGGUUGGCUUUUUGAAAGUGAGCAUUUUGUGAUGAAAAGAAUAAAUCUGAUCUUUAUUUUCUGCUGUCCCA
ensembl:lncRNA